rnacentral:rRNA from 1 species
CCUACGGGGAGCAGCAGUGAGGAAUAUUGGUCAAUGGGCGCGAGCCUGAACCAGCCAAGUCGCGUGAGGGAAGACGGUCCUAUGGAUUGUAAACCUCUUUUGUCGGGGAGCAAAAGACGCCACGCGUGGCGUUCCGAGAGUACCCGAAGAAAAAGCAUCGGCUAACUCCGUGCCAGCAGCCGCGGUAAUACGGAGGAUGCGAGCGUUAUCCGGAUUUAUUGGGUUUAAAGGGUGCGUAGGCGGGCUGUUAAGUCAGCGGUAAAAGCCCGGGGCUCAACCCCGGCGAGCCGUUGAAACUGGCUGUCUUGAGAUGUCGAGAGGUAUGCGGAAUGCGCAGUGUAGCGGUGAAAUGCUUAGAUAUUGCGCAGAACUCCGAUUGCGAAGGCAGCUCACUGGACUGCAACUGACACUGAGGCUCGAAAGUGUGGGUAUCAAACAGGAUUAGAUACCCGAGUAGUC